AUUGAACGCUGGCGGCAGGCCUAACACAUGCAAGUCGAGCGAGCGGCGGACGGGUGAGUAAUGCCUAGGAAUCUGCCUGGUAGUGGGGGAUAACGUCCGGAAACGGGCGCUAAUACCGCAUACCAUCAGAUGUGCCCAGAUGGGAUUAGCUAGUUGGUGGGGUAACGGCCUACCAAGGCGACGAUCCCUAGCUGGUCUGAGAGGAUGACCAGCCACAAUGGAACUGAGACACGGUCCAGACUCCAACGAGAGGCAGCGGUGGGGAAUAUUGAACAAUGGGCGCAAGCCUGAUGCAACCAUGCCGAGUGUGUGAAGAAGGCCUUCGGGUUGUAAAGAACUUUCAGCGGGGAGGCGUUACCCACAGAAGAAGCACCGGCUAACUCCGUGCCAGCAGCCGCGGUAAUAC
rnacentral:rRNA from 1 species